rnacentral:rRNA from 1 species
AUUGAACGCUGGCGGCAUGCCUUACACAUGCAAGUCGAACGGCAGCACGGGAGCAAUCCUGGUGGCGAGUGGCGAACGGGGUGAGUAAUAUAUCGGAACGUGCCCAGUCGUGGGGGAUAACGCAGCGAAAGCUGUGCUAAUACCGCAUACGAUCUACGGAUGAAAGCGGGGGAUCGCAAGACCUCGCGCGAUUGGAGCGGCCGAUAUCAGAUUAGCUAGUUGGCGGGGUAAAAGCCCACCAAGGCGACGAUCUGUAGCUGGUCUGAGAGGACGACCAGCCACACUGGAACUGAGACACGGUCCAGACUCCUACGGGAGGCAGCAGUGGGGAAUUUUGGACAAUGGGGGCAACCCUGAUCCAGCCAUGCCGCGUGAGUGAAGAAGGCCUUCGGGUUGUAAAGCUCUUUCGGCCGGGAAAAAAUCGCAUCAGUUAAUACCUGGUGUGGAUGAUGGUACCGGAAUAAGAAGCACCGGCUAACUACGUG